rfam:Flavobacterium sp. LM5 Flavobacterium_sp_LM5_contig1, whole genome shotgun sequence.
GCCUAGCCCCGAUGGGAGGGAAUAUCCUUUUUUUAGGGCUAGGCGGUUUUUCAAACCGAAUAGCGCUAAAAAAAGAUAGGAAGGACAGCGGGACUUUGC